GCGGUCCUAGAGCCGAGGCGGACACUGCGCAUGCGCACCCCACACCGCCCCGCUAGCGGGAUCCAGGUCUGGGCCCCGCCCUACGCGUUUCCAGCGCCGAAGGUCUUAACCCCGCCCUGACUCGCACCAGCAGUGAGACAGUAGGGCAAGCAUCACCAAUGCCCUCCGCCAUCUCCCAGGCUCUGCUGAACUCAGGAGUUAUGUGACUUACUUUGGCCAAUAAAAUAUGGAAACGCCUCGUGCUUGAACAGGCUUGGGAGCGGACCAGGAGCCCAGGGAAAGGGACCAGUAGAGAUGCAGGAAAGCAGGAGGACAGGAAGGAGGCCCAGCCGGCUCCAGCCACUAAGGGAGCUCGCUCGCCUCACUUCCACAGCGGCCAGAAAGUCAGCUUCGGCGCCUCCCCCGGGACGCUGGUUCCCCGCCUCGGAUUAAGCUCGGCUGUCUGUACCGGACGCCCGCGCCUGCGCUGCACCGCCCUUCGCGGAGCGCGGAGCCAAAUGCCUACAUCCCACAAUCCCCCGCAACGCCGGGAGGGGCGAGACCUCAGCUUCCAGCUCUGGGCAAGACCAGGCUAAGAUUGUCGCGUAGUUUUCUGGGAAAUGCCGUUCGCGUUCCAGGAUGCUUAUGCCACCUUUGAGACUACGCGACCCAUAAUGCACCAGGGGCGCAGCGUCUGAACGGUGCGCGGCUGCCCCCUCGUGGCAGAUGGGCGGUGAUUGCCGAGGCUAGGCACGCUGAGGUUGCGAGAUCUGGGAGGCGAGCCUAAGUCCUGGGAACCCUUGGGAAUUCCCUCCCAACCCCAAACUUUGGGCAGUAAAGGUGGAGUGUUGACGGGAAACGGUGAAAGACUUGCGGACAGGGCCCGCUGUGAGGAUUAAAGGAAACCAGCCCAGU